AUCCCUGGCUCAGGACGAACGCUGGCGGCGUGCCUAAUACAUGCAAGUCGAGCGGAUCUUGUCCUUCGGGACAAGGUUAGCGGCGGACGGGUGAGUAACACGUGGGUAACCUGCCUGUAAGACUGGGAUAACAUUCGGAAACGAAUGCUAAUACCGGAUACGCAGCUUGGUCGCAUGACCGAGCUGGGAAAGAUGGAGCAAUCUAUCACUUAUAGAUGGACCCGCGGCGCAUUAGCUAGUUGGUGAGGUAACGGCUCACCAAGGCGACGAUGCGUAGCCGACCUGAGAGGGUGAUCGGCCACACUGGGACUGAGACACGGCCCAGACUCCUACGGGAGGCAGCAGUAGGGAAUCUUCCGCAAUGGACGAAAGUCUGACGGAGCAACGCCGCGUGAGUGAUGAAGGUUUUCGGAUCGUAAAGCUCUGUUGCCAGGGAAGAAUGCUUGGGAGAGUAACUGCUCCCAAGGUGACGGUACCUGAGAAGAAAGCCCCGGCUAACUA
rnacentral:rRNA from 1 species